rnacentral:rRNA from 1 species
GACGAACGCUGGCGGCGUGCCUAAUACAUGCAAGUCGAACGCUUCUUUCCUCCCGAGUGCUUGCACUCAAUUGGAAAGAGGAGUGGCGGACGGGUGAGUAACACGUGGGUAACCUACCCAUCAGAGGGGGAUAACACUUGGAAACAGGUGCUAAUACCGCAUAACAGUUUAUGCCGCAUGGCAUAAGAGUGAAAGGCGCUUUCGGGUGUCGCUGAUGGAUGGACCCGCGGUGCAUUAGCUAGUUGGUGAGGUAACGGCUCACCAAGGCCGCGAUGCAUAGCCGACCUGAGAGGGUGAUCGGCCACACUGGGACUGAGACACGGCCCAGACGGCUACGGGAGGCAGCAGUAGGGAAUCUUCGGCAAUGGACGGAAGUCUGACCGAGCAACGCCGCGUGAGUGAAGAAGGUUUUCGGAUCGUAAAACUCUGUUGUUAGAGAAGAACAAGGACGUUAGUAACUGAACGUCCCCUGACGGUAUCUAACCAGAAAGCCACGGCUAACUACGUGCCAGCCGCCGCCGUAA